UUAUUUCAAGUUACUCCAGUCCACUCAGCUGAUAAUAAUGAGUUGUAUCUGUAUUUCAAAGGGUCAGCCUUGUCACAUUCUGUGUCACGCUGAAUCUCCUUGAGAACUACGUCAAAGACACGCGUGUCUGUGGACUGCUCAGCCCAUUACACUCUAAUUCCACGAGCGGACUGUUCGACUGGUCGGAUC